GACCUUAUGCUUUUGGAGCGGCCGAUGUCUGAUUAGCUAGUUGGUAAGGUAAUGGCUUACCAAGGCAACGAUCAGUAGUUGGUCUGAGAGGACGACCAGCCACACUGGGACUGAGACACGGCCCAGACUCCUACGGGAGGCAGCAGUGGGGAAUUUUGGACAAUGGGCGCAAGCCUGAUCCAGCAAUGCCGCGUGAGUGAAGAAGGCCUUCGGGUUGUAAAGCUCUUUCAGUUGAGAAGAAAAGAUUGUGACUAAUAAUUGCAAUUCAUGACGGUAUCAACAGAAGAAGCACCGGCUAACUACGUGCCAGCAGCCGCGGUAAUACGUAGGGUGCGAGCGUUAAUCGGAAUUACUGGGCGUAAAGGGUGCGCAGGCGGUUCUGUAAGUCAGAUGUGAAAUCCCCGGGCUUAACCUGGGAACUGCGUUUGAAACUACAAAGC
rnacentral:rRNA from 1 species